rnacentral:ribozyme from 1 species
CAAGAUGACAGAACAAGCCUCAAAAAAGAAAAGUAGAUUCCCAAUGAUAGACACAGUAUUUGUCGUGAUUCUUGUUUGUUUUCUUUAUUUGUCGUUCCAUUGAUGACUACACUUGACACACUUAUAAAAAAUAGACAUGGGUUCGUCUGCGG